rnacentral:rRNA from 1 species
CAAGUCGUGGGGCAGCAGGUCUGUAGCAAUACAGAUGCUGGCGACCGGCAAACGGGUGCGGAACACGUACGCAACCUUCCUUUAACUGGAGAAUAGCCCCUCGAAAGAGGGAUUAAUACUCCGUAACAUAAUGAUGAGGCAUCUCUUUAUUAUUAUAGCUCCGGCGGUUAAAGAUGGGCGUGCGCCUGAUUAGAUAGUUGGCGGGGUAACGGCCCACCAAGUCUGCGAUCAGUAACUGGUGUGAGAGCACGACCAGUCACACGGGCACUGAGACACGGGCCCGACUCCUACGGGAGGCAGCAGUAAGGAAUAUUGGUCAAUGGACGCAAGUCUGAACCAGCCAUGCCGCGUGGAGGAUUAAGGCCCUCUGGGUUGUAAACUCCUUUUAUCUGGGAAGAAAUGCAGAAAUUCCUUUCUGCUUGACGGUACCAGAGGAAUAAGCACCGGCUAACUCCGUGCCAGCAGCCGCGGUAAUACGGAGGGUGCAAGCGUUAUCCGGAUUCACUGGGUUUAAAGGGUGCGUAGGUGGGCAGGUAAGUCCGUGGUGAAAUCUCUGAGCUUAACUCAGAAACUGCCGUGGAUACUAUCUGUCUUGAAUAUUGUGGAGGUAAGCGGAAUAUGUCAUGUAGCGGUGAAAUGCUUAGAUAUGACAUAGAACACCAAUUGCGAAGGCAGCUUACUACACAGUAAUUGACGCUGAGGCACGAAAGCGUGGGGAUCAAACAGGAUUAGAUACCCUGGUAGUCCACGCCCUAAACGAUGAUUACUCGACAUCAGCGAUACACUGUUGGUGUCUGAGCCGAA